GCCCCAGUAGUCUAAUGGACAAGGCACUGGCUUUCUAAGCCAGAAAUUGUGGGUUGAAGCCCCACCUGGGGUA
rfam:Alligator mississippiensis ScZkoYb_35, whole genome shotgun sequence.